rnacentral:rRNA from 1 species
GACGAACGCUGGCGGCGUGCUUAACACAUGCAAGUCGAGCGGAAAGGCCCCUUCGGGGGUACUCGAGCGGCGAACGGGUGAGUAACACGUGAGUAAUCUGCCCUUCACUUUGGGAUAACCCUCGGAAACGGGAGCUAAUACCGGAUACGACCACUCCACGCAUGUGGUGGUGGUGGAAACUUUUUUGGGUGGGGGAUGUGCUCGCGGCCUAUCAGCUUGUUGGUGGGGUAAUGGCCUACCAAGGCUUUGACGGGUAGCCGGCCUGCGAGGGUGACCGGCCACACUGGGACUGAGACACGGCCCAGACUCCUACGGGAGGCAGCAGUGGGGAAUAUUGGACAGUGGGCGGAAGCCUGAUUCAGCAACGCCGCGUGAGGGAUGACGGCCUUCGGGUUGUAAACCUCUUUCAGCACCGACGAAGCGCAAGUGACGGUAGGUGCAGAAGAAGGACCGGCCAACUACGUGCCAGCCGCCGCCGUAAUAC